rnacentral:lncRNA from 7 species
UCCUCAGCACCGGCGAGGUCUCCCCAGCUGUCCGGUUACCCUCAGUGCCAUACAGAGCCACGAACGGGCACGGUGGUUCUCUGGAGAUCGCCCCGCCGACACUCUCUCAGGCUUGCUGACGGCGUAGACACGCGGUUGCAGAUUUCCGACGGCCAAGAGGGCGGUGUCCCGGCGCCUGCAUGUAUACUCAGGUCGGCAAGGAUAUCACAAGGUUGUUGCGCGUCAAACACGGUGUGUCCGUGCGGAUUUUCAGGCUGAGCCCAUGGCGUUCCUGUGAAGGGGAUAAACCUGACACGAUGGGCCCACACGACG